UACCAAAAGUCAUAUAUACAACAACAACAUUAAAAAACGCAACCGCGCGUUGUUGCGGCAGCCAAAUCUCAUAUUUAUGCGUUUACUACCUACUUAGUCGCCGCUAUUACUGCUUGCUGUUCCACAAGUUCAACCAUGAAAAAACCGUUGAGUGCUUGCCGUUCCACAAGUUCAAUUCAAAACCAUGAAAAAACAGUUGAGU